UACGAAGGGGGCUAGCGUUGCUCGGAAUCACUGGGCGUAAAGGGUGCGUAGGCGGGGCUUUAAGUCAGAGGUUAAAUCCUGGAGCUCAACUCCAGAACUGCCUUUGAUACUGAGGAUCUUGAGUUCGGGAGAGGUGAGUGGAACUGCGAGUGUAGAGGUGAAAUUCGUAGAUAUUCGCAAGAACACCAGUGGCGAAGGCGGCUCACUGGCCCGGUACUGACGCUGAGGUGCGAAAGCGUGGGGAGCGAACAGG
rnacentral:rRNA from 1 species